rnacentral:lncRNA from 1 species
CGCGCUUCGCAUGUUGGUCCUAUCGACGACCGUCCCUGGAGGUACGUUGGUCCCAUUUUUGCGACAGAAGCGGGUUCUGUGCCGCUUCUGAACAGUCACAAAUGUUAUUCGUGGGUUACAUUUGAUCGCCUUUUUACGUUCG